rnacentral:rRNA from 1 species
GUGCCUAAUACAUGCAAGUCGAACGAGAAAGCGUCACUUCGGUGAUGCUGGAAGGUGGCGUCCGGGUGAGUAACACGUAGCUGACCUGCCCUCCGCAGGGGGACAACGCCCCGAAAGGGGUGCUAAUACCGCGUACGCUCAACUUUUUUAGAAAGGGUUGAGGAAAGUUACGGCGGCGGAGGAGGGGGCUGCGAUCCAUC